CCCUGAGCUGGAAAUAGUUCCGUUAAUUAAAAUAAUCAGCACAAAGCAGCCCUCGUGCAGUCUGAACCCCCGGCCAUCUGCACAGAGGACUACAGUACCCAGAAGGCUUAGCGGGUACGGCGGACAGACAAGAGGAGGUCAAAACAAAACCGGCAAAAGCAGGAGGCGGACACAAGGACGUUCUCUGAUGGCCUCUCGUCUUCUCAGACUCACCUCCUGGUCCACUGCAGUCCUGGUCUCUUCUGGGUUUAUGUCUACAACCAACAGCUGGACCCCAACGACCUCAGUGUGAUCCGCUUUGGACGAGCUGCUGUGACUACGGCACUCAUCAGCUAUGCCUACAUGACUGCCUUCAGACAUGGGGAGUACGGAUCGAACUGUACUGGACCAUCAAGUCUGAGGUAGAGGGUCACCAACAACCACAGACAGAACCAUUAGAACCUGUAUGUGAUCCAUUAGAACCUGUAUGUGAUCCCAUUAGAACCUGUAUGGAUCCCAUUAGAACCGGUAUGGAUCCCAUUAGAGCCUGUAUGUGAUCCCAUUAGAACCUGUAUGUGAUCCAUUAGAACCUGUAUGUGAUCCCAUUAGAACCUGUAUGUGAUCCCAUUAGAGCCUGUAUGUGAUCCCAUUAGAACCCGUAUGUGAUCCCAUUAGAACCUGUAUGUGAUCCCUUAGAGCCUGUAUGUGAUCCCAUUAGAGCCUGUAUGUGAUCCUAUUAGAACCUGUAUGUGAUCCCAUUAGAGCCCGUAUGUGAUCCCAUUAGAACUGUAUGUGAUCCCAUUAGAGCCUGUAUGUGAUCCCAUUAGAACCUGUAUGUGAUCCCAUUAGAACCUGUAUGUGAUCCCAUUAAGCCUGUAUGUGAUCCCAUUAGAGCCUGUAUGUGAUCCCAUUAGAGCCUGUAUGUGAUCC